rnacentral:rRNA from 1 species
CGGGGCUUAAAGUCUUGUAAUUGGAAUGAUGGGAAUUUAAACCUCUUCCAGAGUAUCAAUUGGAGGGCAAGUCUGGUGCCAGCAGCCGCGGUAAUUCCAGCUCCAAUAGCGUAUAUUAAAAUUGUUGCAGUUAAAAAGCUCGUAGUUGAAUUUCUGCUGCAUUGCUUGUGUCCCUCUGAGGUCUGUGCAUGUGGCUUUUUUCGGACGGAGUUUCUUUGUCUGAAUGUUUACUUUGAGAAAAUUAGAGUGCUCAAAGCAGGCUUUCGCCUUGAAUAGUUUAGCAUGGAAUAAUAAAGUAGGACUUUGGUUCUAUUUUGUUGGUUUUAGGUACCAAAGUAAUGGUUAAUAGGAACAGUUGGGGGCAUUCGUAUUUAACUGUCAGAGGUGAAAUUCUUAGAUUUGUUAAAGACGAACUACUGCGAAAGCAUUUGCCAAGGAUGUUUUCAUUAAUCAAGAAC